GCCAGGUAUGGUGGUGCAUACCUGUAGUCCCUGCUACUCAGGAGGUUGAGAUGGGAGGAUCACUUGAGGCCAGGAGUUUGAGGCUGCAGUAUGCUAUGAUUGCUCCUGUGAAUAGCCGCUGUACUCUAGCCUGGGAAACACAGUGGCACCCUGUCUCUU
ensembl:misc_RNA Metazoa_SRP Metazoan signal recognition particle RNA